rfam:Triticum aestivum genome assembly, contig: Triticum_aestivum_CS42_TGACv1_scaffold_499447_6BL
GAGGUACUCCCUCUGUUCCAUAUUAGAUGACUCAUGUUUAUCAAGAUACGGAUGUAUCUAUACUUGUUUAGUGUCUAGAUACAUCCAUAUCUAGACAAAUUUGGGUCAUCUAUUUUGGAACGGAGGGAGUAGUAA